UCACAUAAUCCCAUGUAAUAAACAAGAAUGGGAUAAAGAGUUGGCUUACAAUCGCCACUUCACACAAUACAUAAAUAAAACAUACAUCAUUCAGAGAUACACACAUAGGUCCGACUACGGAACCAAAAUAAAAGAAGACAACCCAACUGCUAGAUCCCUGAUCGUCCCAACUGGGCACCACUACUGAACAACAUGAAAAGAAUCAACACAACGAACAAGAUCUUCAUCGAGCUCCCAUUUGAGCUCAGUUGCGUCACCUGCACUGGUAUCAACGGCACCUGCAACUGUUUUGGAAGUAUCUGUGAGUCACGAGGACUCAGCAAUCUCACACCCGCGAGAUCAAGACUAUUUAAUCUUAAGGGUAGGAGAGGGUAAGGUGGUGAGGUUGCAGCAGCGACUAAGCAUAUAUGGUGGCUAAAAUACGCAAAUAAGAGCGAGAAGAGAAGCAACGGAACGGUCGUGAAGCUAGCAAUGAUCAAGAAGUGAUCCUGAACUCCUACUUACAUCAAACAUAACCCAGAAACCGUAUUCACUUCCCGGACUCCGCCGAGAAGAGACCAUCACGGCUACACACGCGGUUGAUGCGUUUUAAUUAAGGUCAAGUGUCAAGUUCUCUACAACCGGAUAUUAACAAAUUCCCAUCUGCCACAUAACCGCGGGCAUGGCUCUCGAAAGUUUAUACCCUGCAGGGGUGUCCCAACUUAGCCCAUUAUAAGCUCUCACGGUCAACGAAGGAUAUUCCUUCUCCCAGGAAGACCCGAUCAGUCUCGGAAUCCCGGUUACAAGACAUUUUGACAAUGGUAAAACAAGACCAGCAAAGCCGCCCGAAUGUGCUGACAAAUCCUGAUAGGAGCUGCACAUAUCUCGUUCUCAGGGCACACUGGAUUGUCCAAGCUUCCGAUAGGCGAGCCCAGAGUUGCCCCUGGUGGCCACCGGCGACUAACGGGUUGGACCAACACUCAGAGGAGCACUGGCCCAGGGGUUUAAAAUAAAGAUGACCCUUGAGUCUGCAGAACCCAAGGGAAAAAGGCUUAGGUAGGCAAAUGGUAAAACCAAGGUUGGGCCUUGCUGGAGGAGUUUUAUUCAAAGCGAACUGUCAAGGGGGUCCGAUAAAUCACCCAACCGCGCAAGGAACGCAAAAUCAAGGAACAUAACACCGGUAUGACGGAAACUAGGGCGGCAAGAGUGGAACAAAACACCAGGCAUAAGGCCGAGCCUUCCACCCUUAACCAAGUAUAUAGAUGCAUUAAUUAAAUAAGAGAUAUUGUGAUAUCCCAACAUAAUUAUGUUCCAACAAGGAGCAAUCUUCAACUUCACCUGCAACUAACAACGCUGUAAGAGGGGCUGAGCAAAAGAGGUAACAUAGCCAAACAACGGUUUGCUAGGAAGGGUGAAAAGGUUAGGGGCUGACAUGGCAGUAUGGGAGGCAUGAUAUAGCAAGUGGUAGGUAGCGCAGCAUGGCAAUAGAACGGACAACUAGCAAGCAAAGAUAGAAGUGAUAUCGAGGGUAUGGUCAUCUUGCCUGAAAUCCCGCUAGGAAGAAGAACGAGUCCAUGAAGCAGACAAACGGACGUAGUCGAACGAAUCCUCUCAACUCCGGAACGAAACCGAAGGUAACGAGAGAGCAAACCGGAAAGAAGCAAACAACACGGUAAACACACAAUCAUAAACAUGGCAUGAUGCACAAUCAAGUAUGAUGCAUGUCCGGUUUAAAGAGGCAUGGCAUGGCAAAGUGCACAAGCAAAACUACAAGUUAAGUGGAGCUCAAUAGGCAACGAGUUGCAUAUUGACGAAACACCACAUCAAUUAUUUAGUUCUCUCUCGUUUAUGUACCCAACAAUAUUAAAUGUUAUUAACCAUGGCAAGAGAUGAAGCAUAUGAAAACUAACUAUUUAAGCAAGUUAAAUGAGGCCGGAAACAAACAACAACAAUUCCGGAAAAUCCCCAUGUGCAAUAUUUUAGAUUUGGUACUGUUCUGCCAUAAAUGCAAUUUUAUUAUUGUUAAACAGCAAAAUGAAGUGCACCAUGUUAAACUAGGCAUUUUUCUACCCCAUUUACAUAUAAAUUUUAUUUAAAUCCGAGUUACGGUUAAUUAGUUAUGAAAUAAAUCAUUUUAACAUAUUAUUCGAGCAAAUUUAAUCAAACAACAUUUUAAGCAAUUUUAACAUGGGUGAAAGUGGCAUAUUAUUAAACUACACAAAAUUCUAAGCAUUUUACAUGUAUAAAUUAUUUUAAUCCGAUGCACGGUUUAUUAGUUAUUAAAUGCAUGAAGAACAUGGGGUUUUCUGUAAAACUGUAAUUCUCUGGAUAAAUGCGAAAAUCACCGCAGCAGAAAAAAAACACUACGGGCCGAAUCUUGCUGCACUAUUGGGCCAACAGAGAGGAGCUGUGGGCAGCUCACCCAUGGGCCUAUCCCAGCUAAGAGGAGGUGGCCCAAUCGGCGCAGAUCUGGGCCUCGGGCGUGCUUGCGGCCCAGGAGGCUGGCCACGCUGGCGCUUGAACGGGUCAACGCAGGAGGGGCUUGGCGCUGGCUCUCUGCUCCUCCCGCAGCGAGACGAAGCAGGGGCGCAGGAGUUGGCGCGGGGCAGAGGCGGACUUGGGGUUCCGGCAGGAGGAACUUGAGGCGCAGGGGACGACGAGCUCGAGCAAAGGCUGGACAGGCGCGGCGCGAUGGGACGGGCACGGGGGAGCUCUCCGGCGAGGCCGCAGCUGGGCUCGUCUGGUUCCUGUCCCUGACAAAGAGAGACAGAGAGAGGUGAGACAGAGAGGGGGGGAAGGGAAAGGAAGAGAGGGCGCGAGGGAGGCCCGGCGGCGUGACCUGGAGGUGGCCGAAGGCUGGCCGGGG
rnacentral:lncRNA from 1 species